UCAACCCUUGCCUGUUUGUCAUUGUAGAGGUUGCACAUGUGAUUCUUCAAAAAAUUUUGCUGCUUAUCAUAAUCAACAUUAUGUGAUGACAUUUCUCAUGGGGUUUACUGAUGCUUUUGAUUCUUUGAGGUGUCAGAUAUUGAUGAUAGAUCCCAUUCCAUCUAUUAACAAAGCUUUCUCUCUUGUUGUACAAGCGUCAAAUGCUUGUUAGCCAAAGAUAUACUUAUUCCGCCCCUGUUGAGUCUAUAACCAGACAAUUCUUUUAAGAAUUUUAAGGCAAAUGCAUGUAGCAAAGUCACCUGUAGUCACUGUAGUAUUCUUGGACACACACUUGACAAAUGUUAUAAACUACACGGUAUUCUCCUAACUAUAAGUUUCGAGACAAGGCAAAAGGUGGACCUGCCUAUUUUAAUACAGUCUAGACCACUGAGAGUUCAUCUACUAUGCCCCUAAUUGUGGAACAAUGCCAAACAACUGCUGGCCUUACUGAAACCAGUUUCUUCUCCUGCCAGUUUAGUCAACAAUGUCAUUCCUUCAGUUAACAUGGCACUGGUUCCAAACUUUUCAGUCAGAAAAUUAACCCAAACAGUCAACUGUUGCUUCCUUCUUCAAGUUGAUAAAUGUUUCUUGUUGGACCUAGCAACUUCGAAGAUGAUUGGGAUGGAUGAAUUGCAAGAUGCUCUCUAUAAGUUGACUGUUCCCAGCUCAUCUGCUAUUCGCAAGAAUUCAUCUUUCUCUACUUGCUCUUUUGUUCAAUCUGAUGUAGCAUUAUGGCACACUUUAGAUUAGGGUAUCCAUCUUUUUCUAGAUUACAACUCUUAGAUGAACACAUUCAUAUUUUGAAUUCCAAGUUUGAUUCUUGUACAGUUGUACUAUACGUCCAAUUGCUAAACAAAAAUGCUUAUCCUUUCCAAUUGGUAAUCAUAAAUGUAUUGCCUCUUUUGAUUUGGUGUA